AUCGAUUGGUGCCACAUUUUCACCCUAUAAAUAGUUUUCGAUCAAUUUAAAAUGUUGCCGGUCAUAUUUUUAUUAACUCACUUGUCCAAAACUCGUAUUUGUUAUCAAUUAACACGUUAACCUUUCGUGACAUUUUAUAUUUGCCCACUUCCAUUUACAUACUUGUUUUCGAAUUUUAAUGUUUGCUUGAAAUGUCGCAAUACCCCUCAAAUCGGUGCGUCCGAAAACAACUUCAUUUACAAUUAUCAAUAAACAUUAAUUGGUCGAAAACAAACGGUUUGGCAAUUUAUUCGGUUAAAUCCCGUAAACAUUGAUAAAUCAUGAUGUUUUGCGAUUCUAGAAACGGUUUUUAGUAUCGAUGCGGUCGUCUGUGUCUAAAUAUAUCGUUCGUCAUGUUUUUUACAUGUUUUUAAUAAGAUUAUAGAACCGCAGUUUUCCUUCUUUUCAAUCCAUUUAUGGUGUGUAACUUCCUCGUUACGUCUUGACGUUCAAUUGGGCUGGUUUUGUUUGUGUUUCGACGUUUUGCGACGUGUUGGAGGGUUGGUGGUUUAGUGACAGAUCUACCGGACAAAGGAGACGGACGACUUCCGGCGCAUCUUCCAGCACCUGUACCGCAGCGACGCGUUCCGCAUCCUCGCCCCAAGCCUGGCCGACCGUCCCCUCGCCCGCCUCGACCCCGAUGCGCUGCACCGGCGCCACUUCGCCCGCCACUAUCGCCGCCUCGUCGACCUGAUCGCCUAGCCGCCAUGCCGCCCCGCCUUACACUGUGAUAA